rnacentral:rRNA from 1 species
CAGGGAAUCUUCGUCAAUGGGGGGAACCCUGACCGAGCAACGCCGCGGGAGUGAAGAAGGAUUUCGGAUGGUAAAGCACCGUUGUUAAGGAAGAACGAGUGUGAGAAUGGAAAGUUCAUACUGUGACGGUACUUAACCAGAAAGGGACGGCUAACUACGUGCGAGCAGCCGCGGUAUUACGUAGGUCCCGAGCGCUGUCCGGAUUUAUUGGGCGUAAAGCGAGCGCAGGCGGUUAGAUAAGUCUGAAGUUAAAGGCAGUGGCUCAACCAUUGUAGUCUUUGGAAACUGAUUAACUUGAGGGCAGAGGGGGGGGGAGGAAUUCCAUGUGUGGCGGUGAAAUGCGUAGUUAUAAGGAGGAACACCGGUGACGAAAGCGACUCUCUGGUCUGUAACUGACGCUGAGGCUCGAAAGCGUGGGGAACGAACAGG